rnacentral:rRNA from 1 species
CCUACAGGUGGCAGCAGUGAGGAAUAUUGGUCAAUGGGCUUACGCCUGAACCAGCCAAGUCGCGUGAGGGAAGACUGCCCUCUGGGUUGUAAACCUCUUCUGUCAGGGGGAAAUUGGCGCUACUUGUAGCGUUAUCGAUAGUAACUGAAGACAAAGCAUCGGCUAACUCCGUGCAAGCAGCCACGGUAAUACGUAGGAUGCGAGCGUUCUCCAGAUUUAUUGGGUUUACAGGAUGCGUAGGCGUAAAGACAAGUCAGCGGUAAAAUCGCGGGGCUCAACCUCGCUCAGCCGUUGAUACUGGCGAUCUAGAGUGGGCGAGAAGUAGGCAGAAUGCGUGGUGUAGCGGUGAAAGGCAUAGAGAUCACGAAGAACACCGGUGGCGAAGGCAGCACACCGGAG